AGGGGUAUAGUUCAGUGGUAGAGGGCCUGCCUAGCAUGUAAGAGGUCCUGGAUUCAAUCCCUAGUACCACUA
rnacentral:tRNA from 1 species